GAACCUGCGAUCUGUGAAGAGGGGACCAUUUGAAAGAAGAUUUUCUUUUAAUGUUGAUGAGAAGGAAGACUUUAAUUGACUGCAAAAUCCUUCCUCGCAUGAGACACUUGAAAGGGUGCAUUAAAAUGGAUCCCAAAAGAAGGCAAUCUUCCCUCUCCCGAAUGACUGCGAUUUAGCAGACCUUGGAAACUUGCUGGAUCUUAUUUUAUUGUUGUUCUUGUCCAUGUGUGUGUUAAGAUGCUGUUGUAGCCGGAUUUGAAACAUCCGAUGCUGAAAAUGUUGCUGUGUCGAGUGAUUUCCAGACGAGUAUGGUAACCGAAUAAUUGAUUUUUAAAAGCAAGUACAGAGGAGGGGAGAGACUGCUGUUGAAGUGAAGGCUCCUUGGCUGGAAAUUGAAAUGUUUGUUGCCAGAUUUUCCUAGAAAAGACUUUACUAGGCUAAUUACGUGUUGUGAAGGAGUCUUUGGCGAAGGCAACAGCCCUAGUCAGAAGGCUUUUCUAUUUUCUGUACGGGCAUUGUGUGUGAUCAUACCACAGGAUAGUACGAAGUGUGUGUCUUUCAUUUAUGCUGGCUAAACCGCCUCCUUGCUCACUAUUGAGAUUUCGAUUCUGCAGUCCUCGCUCAGACAAGACUCCAGUUGAUGUCAAUAGGAGUCUUGUUUGAGUAAGGACUGCAAGACUGGACCAUACAGUUGGACAAUAAGUACAUAUAAAUGUCGUGGAGUGCAUCCUUUCGGCUAUGGAGGGACAUAGUUUACACGUAGGAGAAAUGCCUUCCAAAUCAUGCCAUUGCUUUUACAUGCAAUGCAACUGGAUCAUCUCUGACCUCUAUGUGAUGAUUGCUUGAAUAAUUACUAGGAUCUGGUGUAACAUAUCCAUUCAAGUUUUCCCUCAUUUUAAGUUCUGCAUAGUGUACUCUAGUAGUGGCUAGAGUGGGACUCAGGAGACUUGGAUUCUAUUCCUGGCUCUACCACUGGCCUGCUGGGUGACCUUGGGCAACUCACUUCAUCUCAGCUUCCCCAUUUGUAAAAGGAGGAUAAUAAUACUGACCUCCUUUGUAAAAUGCUUUGAGAUCUCCAAAUAAAAAGUGAUAUAUAAGAGCUUUUUAUUAUUACAUUAUUUCUGUUUAAUAGUUAGUCAGUCCAUAUGUAAUAUGUAUUUACUUCUGCACAGAAUUUUUGGAAGGUCUUUGAUGUAUCUGCAUAAAUAAAAAGCCCUAACCAGAUAGUUAUAUUUUUAAAUAAAUAAAUAAAACUUGCUGGCAAUUUAAAAAA